AGAGAGAGAGAGACGGAACAGGAGACGGGUGCAUCGGCGUGCACCCUGGCCUGGGGAGACACAGGGGCUCCGUGGCGACGGCGCUCGCUCUGAGAGGACGAGCCUUCCCCCGGCCGGGUGCUAAAUCAUGUCGGGGAGAAGACGCCAUCGCAGCGCGACAUGUAUCCAAUGGCCGAACACAAAAGGACCCGUUGGGACAGUGACCGACACACACGCAGGGUUCCCCAGAUAAGUGCUCUCUCUACGACGGCUGUUAUCCUCAAUGUCAUCAUCAAG
ensembl:lncRNA